CUCCCAGCAAGGUGACGCUUGCACGAU
rnacentral:piRNA from 1 species